GCUCUGGUCGGAAACCAGAGCACGAUCACAAGGAG
rfam:Coriobacterium glomerans PW2, complete genome.